UUACGGCCACAUCACGUUGAAACACCGCUUCCCGUACGAUUACCGAAGUUAAGCAACGUCGAGCCUGCUCAGUAACUAGAUGGGUGACCGCUUGGGAAUAACAGGUGCUGUAAG
rnacentral:rRNA from 1 species